CCUUGAUUUUAGGCCAGAUUAUUAAAAUUAAUGAUCGUGUUAAAUUUAGUGUUGUUUACAUUUAGUGAUGACUCAUAAGCCAAUAACGCGUCAUGAUACUGAAUGCCCAAUAUUUGGUACUCCAUGUGAUCUUAGUGAGCAAGUUUUGCCGACUUACAUGGACGUACUAAAAUAUGUUUUAUUUGAACGA